rnacentral:rRNA from 1 species
GCGCGAAAACUUUACAAUGCUGGCAGCAGCGAUAAGGGAACCUCGAGUGCCAGGUUACAAAUCUGGCUGUCGAGAUGCCUAAAAAGCAUUUCAUAGCAAGGGCCGGGCAAGACCGGUGCCAGCCGCCGCGGUAACACCGGCGGCUCGAGUGGUAACCGUUAUUAUUGGGUCUAAAGGGUCUGUAGCCGGCCGGAUAAGUCUCUUGAGAAAUCUGGCAGCUUAACUGUCAGGCUUUCAGGAGAUACUGUCUGGCUCGAGGCCGGGAGAGGUGAGAAGUACUUCAGGGGUAGGGGUGAAAUCUUGUAAUCCUUGAAGGACCACCAGUGGCGAAGGCGUCUCACCAGAACGGACCUGACGGCAAGGGACGAAAGCUAGGGGCACGAACC